rnacentral:rRNA from 1 species
GACGAACGCUGGCGGCGUGCUUAACACAUGCAAGUCGAACGGAAAGGCCCUGCUUUUGUGGGGUGCUCGAGUGGCGAACGGGUGAGUAACACGUGAGUAACCUGCCCUUGACUUUGGGAUAACUUCAGGAAACUGGGGCUAAUACCGGAUAGGAUCUCCUGCUGCAUGGUGGGGGUUGGAAAGUUUCGGCGGUUGGGGAUGGACUCGCGGCUUAUCAGCUUGUUGGUGGGGUAGUGGCUUACCAAGGCUUUGACGGGUAGCCGGCCUGAGAGGGUGACCGGCCACAUUGGGACUGAGAUACGGACCAGACUCCUACGGGAGGCAGAAGUGGGGAAUAUUGCACAAUGGGCGGAAGCCUGAUGCAGCAACGCCGCGUGCGGGAUGACGGCCUUCGGGUUGUAAACCGCUUUCGCCUGUGACGAAGCGUGAGUGACGGUAAUGGGUAAAGAAGCACCGGCUAACUACGUG